AAUGGUACCAUUGAUCGACCUUUUGAAAACCGUCAAAAUUAUGAAUGACACUCCAUGCACGUGUAUGUAGCUACUGCGUUGUGCACGUGCAUCCCAUGCAUUGUGUUUAUGGGGUGGUGAUAAAGAGAAAUGGUGGUG